AGUGAACGCUGGCGGUAGGCCUAACACAUGCAAGUCGAACGGCAGCACAGUAAGAGCUUGCUCUUACGGGUGGCGAGUGGCGGACGGGUGAGGAAUACAUCGGAAUCUACUUUUUCGUGGGGGAUAACGUAGGGAAACUUACGCUAAUACCGCAUACGACCUACGGGUGAAAGCAGGGGAUCUUCGGACCUUGCGCGAUUGAAUGAGCCGAUGUCGGAUUAGCUAGUUGGCGGGGUAAAGGCCCACCAAGGCGACGAUCCGUAGCUGGUCUGAGAGGAUGAUCAGCCACACUGGAACUGAGACACGGUCCAGACUCCGACGGUAAGCAGCAGUGGGGAAUAUUGGACAAUGGGGGCAAGCCUGAUCCAGCCAUACCGCGUGGGUGAAGAAGGCCUUCGGGUUGUAAAGCCCUUUUGUUGGGAAAGAAAAGCAGCAGGUUAAUACCCCGCUGUUCUGACGGUACCCAAAGAAUAAGCACCGGCUAACUUCGUG
rnacentral:rRNA from 1 species